ensembl:snoRNA LOC120101360 small nucleolar RNA SNORA17
AAAGAAGACUUCCUCUUCUUUGAAUGAAGGAAGCUGCUUAUGCUCAGUGUUCUGAACCGUGAACAUCUGAAUUAGUAGCCUAAUAUU